UUGCCUUCCUUCCUGUUCAACCUUAUCUCUUGCCACUCUCUUUUUGAAGAGAAGAGAUAUAUCACAGAAUGAAGAGACAUGGAGACAGGAAAUCUAGAAAAAGAAAUAUUUCUCAGAUGCAGGAUGAGUGGCCAUUUCUCUGCUGUUUGCUGCCAGACUUCGCGAGUCUCGUGCAUACACGAGGGGAAGUGCACAGCACGAGGCGUGUCACAGAGCGAAGGCAUCUGAUGACAACGGGUCACCAUGUUUGGUGAGGCCGGGGCGUAACUGGGACUGGCGGAUGUAAUCUAUGCAGGGAGACCCUGGCCGAUGGGGGAAUGCUCUGAGAGGCUCCGAAGCAUCAAGUGAGUGGUGGGCUCGGGGCCGAGGGGUCUGUUCCAACCCUAAUAUUUCCUGAUCGUAACUCAGAUAACCAACCCUCCAUCGGUGCCUUAUUGCCAAGUCACCUGGGCUCGGGAAAUGCCGCUCACCACGUGCCCGGUGCCUGCUUGGGCUCUUCCCUGCCCUGGACUUGCGGCCUGCUGGGGCCUGUCUGUGACAGAGACUGCGGCUCCGCAGCCACAGCAAGGCGGGCCCGUGGUGGUGAAGGGGGAUGUCCCCACAGAGGUUUCUCCAGGCCUUAAUCCACCUCACCGCCUGCCCUCAACCCAAGGGAGCGCCUUGCCACAUGGGAGACCUGCCAAGGACACGCCCUGAUGGCCAGAGAACGUGCAGACAGAGGUGGGAAGCUGCUACAGUCCCCAGAGCAUGGACGGGGCUCAGGUUCCUCAAAAGUACAUGGAGAUAAGUGAUGCAGGUGGCAGUUCUAGGGAAGAUGUCACAGGUGACAUCUUCUAUAGUGCUUGUAGUGCGCCAUGCCCCUCACCAGGCUCUUCUACUUCAUUUCCAUCAGCUCGGGCCACCCUGUCUUGCCUUCUUCCUUCCCCACGUGCUCUGUCCCCGUGUGCCCCAUCUGGCUUCAGUGUGGGGAUAUUUUUGUUGGCACUUAGACCUGCCCAUGCUGCCAGGCACCCUAGCCUGCCUUCUCCCAGCCCAGGACUGAUGCAGAGAGCCCUCGACAAGGCACAGGAAGCUUCGGGAAGUGUGGAAGGGCCACAGGAUGGCCUAGGAGGCUACUGCUUCCGGCAGACCCGAGCUUGCCCAGCCAGCCGCCUCCUCCCUCACCAACAGGACCCGAGUUUUGUGCAGGUGUUUAGCAGGUGAGGUCUCAGAAGGUGGCUCCUUUCCCCAGGCACACAGUAGUUCUAGAUUUUGAAGCACAGUAGUUCCAUAUUGGUCCUGUGGAUCCUCAUAGCCUUUGCCAGCGAUAGACUAACAUGGGCAUGGGACUUAGUUGUUACAAGUAAGGGAAAGUCUUCCAGGGGGUGUCUGGGAAAGACUUCCCCACCUGGCAUGGGUUGAUGGAGGCUA